rnacentral:rRNA from 1 species
UGGGGAAUAUUGCACAAUGGGGGAAACCCUGAUGCAGCGACGCCGCGUGAGCGAUGAAGCCCUUCGGGGUGUAAAGCUCUUUCGGCAGGGACGAUUAUGACGGUACCUGCAGAAGCAGCUGCGGCUAACUACGUGCCAGCAGCCGCGGUAAUACGUAGGCAGCAAGCGUUGUUCGGAAUUACUGGGCGUAAAGGGUGCGUAGGCGGCUUUUUAAGUUUGUCGUGAAAUCUCCCGGCUCAACCGGGAGGGUGCGGCGAAUACUGAGAAGCUAGAGUGUGGGAGAGGAAAGUGGAAUUCCUGGUGUAGCGGUGAAAUGCGUAGAUAUCAGGAGGAACACCGGUGGUGUAAACGGCUUUCUGGACCAUAACUGACGCUGAGGCACGAAAGCGUGGGUAGCAAACAGG